GCUUCCAUGAUGAUAACCAAUGUCUGUUCUUUUAUCCAUUGUCUAUUUCUCAGAGUCAACAGUUUAUUUAACUAGGUCAGGUGUUUGUAAUUUGAGGAAUACCUAUGAAGUCAAAGAAAGUGUAGAACAAAGUAAAACAGUUUCAGCCUGCAAAAUUUUUUGCUGCUUAUAAAAGCUCACCGGAUCUGCGACAGAGAUGGGCAAUAUCCAGGGAAGGCAUUGGUUUCUAGGAUCAACUCUGAGCAGAAGAUCAGGCUGAGGGGAAGUCCUAAAAAAAGGUCAGUUCUUUCCACAACUUCCUCUCCUGAUGCCUGUCUACCCACAGACACUGUAAUAUAAUACAUAAUAUGAACUAUAAUAGAAUAUUUUGUCACCCAAAUGUUUCUAACUGAAUUUUGCCCCAACUGCAAAGAGGCCAGGAGUCAAUUGAAUUGGAUAUAAAUAUAAAGUUAGGCAAAGGACACCAUCUUUGCCUCUAUUUGGGGAAUUUUCCUAAGUAGGAGCUCAGAACAAUUGUGACUAAACUCUAAACCUUUCACUUAAAAUAACCACCAAGUGAACCUUACAGUCCAUUAUAGCCUCUGAAGCUUAAACUAAACUAAUUAUUACAACAGAAUUAACAAAUAGUAAAUCUAAGCAAUCACUAUUUGGGUGUUACUUUCACAUUUUCAUUGUAAUAAAAAGUAAAGUUUCAGGUGAGUAGUCUAAUAC
rnacentral:lncRNA from 1 species